GAUGAACGCUGGCGGCGUGCCUAAUACAUGCAAGUCGAACGAUCGACUUCGGUCGAUAGUGGCGAACGGGUGAGUAACGCGUUGGUGACCUGCCCCGAAGAGAGGGAUAACAGGCCGAAAGGCCUGCUAAUACCGCAUAAGCUAGCCAUGGAUUAGGAAGUGGUUAGGAAAAGGAGCAAUCCGCUUUGGGAGGGGCCUGCGUCCCAUCAGCUAGUUGGUAAGGUAACGGCUUACCAAGGCGAUGACGGGUAGGGGGCCUGAGAGGGUGAACCCCCACAAUGGAACUGAAACACGGUCCAUACACCUACGGGAGGCUG
rnacentral:rRNA from 1 species